rnacentral:rRNA from 1 species
GUCCACGCCCUAAACGAUGUCAACUGGGUGUUGGGGAAGCGAUUCCUUGGUACCGUAGCUAACGCGUGAAGUUGACCGCCUGGGGAGUACGGCCGCAAGGUUAAAACUCAAAGGAAUUGACGGGGACCCGCACAAGCGGUGGAUGAUGUGGAUUAAUUCGAUGCAACGCGAACAACCUUACCUACCCUUGACAUGUCUGGAACCCUGCUGAGAGGUGGGGUGCCCGAAAGGGAACCUGAACACAGGUGCUGCAUGGCUGUCGU